AUACGUAGGUGACAAGCGUUAUCCGGAUUUACUGGGCGUAAAGGGCGUGUAGGCGGUCUUGCAAGUCAGAAGUGAAAUUCCUGAGCUCAACUCGGGCGCUGCUUCUGAAACUGCAGGACUUGAGUGCUGGAGGGGAUAGCGGAAUUCCUAGUGGAGCGGUAAAAUGCGUAGAUAUUAGGAGGAACACCGGUGGCGAAGGCGGCUUACUGGACUGUAACUGGCGUUGAGGCUCGAAAGCGUGGGGAGCAAACAGGAUUAGAUACCCUGGUAGUCCACGCCGUAAACGAUGACUACUAGGUGGCGGGUACCACAGGUAUUCGGUGCCGCCGCAAACGCAUUAAGUAGUCCACCUGGGGAGUACGUUCGCAAGAAUGAAACUCAAAGGAAUUGACGGGG
rnacentral:rRNA from 1 species